AAUGACCACUUGAAAACUCUAAACGUUCACUCAAUGGGAUUUAAAGGUCUGCUUAAAAAAAGAACAAAUAAUGAAUAAAAUAAAAAAAGAAAAGAAAAGGUGAGGACGCAGACGAGAGUCCCAGAACCCCAAUCGUCCUCCUCUCUCUAUCUCACCAUCGCUCUCAACCUCAGGUUUCCCAGAAUGAACCUCUCUCAAUCGCGAUUUCCAUCGUCUCUCAAAUCUAACCUCAAUCCCUCAUCUCUCAUCGAAACCCCCUAUCUCAAAAGCUCCCAAACCUCACGUCUUUCUCAGAAUCGCUCACGAUGCUAACCCCAGAAAUACACGAACCUAUGGUUUCAAAAGAGGGUCG
rnacentral:lncRNA from 1 species